UGCGCAGGUGGCCAAGUGUGUCAGGUGUGAAAUCCCGGGGCUUAACUCCGGAACUGCGCCUGAAACUGCUUGGCUAGAGCAUUGGAGAGGGUAGUGGAAUUCACGGUGUAGCAGUGAAAUGCGUAGAUAUCGUGAGGAACGCCAGAGGCGAAGGCGACUACCUGGACAAUUGCUGACACUCAGGCACGAAAGCGUGGGGAGCCAAAG
rnacentral:rRNA from 1 species